AAAUAAGAAACAAUUUAUUGUAUUUAGUUUCGACCUAAAAAUUAGGUGUAAAUACACCCUUAUUUA
rnacentral:tRNA from 1 species